UACGUAUGGUGCAAGCGUUAUCCGGAUUUACUGGGUGUAAAGGGAGCGUAGACGGCGAGGCAAGUCUGAAGUGAAAGCUCGGGGCUCAACCCCGGAACUGCUUUGGAAACUGUUUUGCUAGAGUGCAGGAGAGGCAAGUGGAAUUCCUAGUGUAGCGGUGAAAUGCGUAGAUAUUAGGAGGAACACCAGUGGCGAAGGCGGCUUGCUGGACUGUAACUGACGUUGAGGCUCGAAAGCGUGGGGAG
rnacentral:rRNA from 1 species